rnacentral:rRNA from 1 species
ACGCUGGCGGCGUGCCUAAUACAUGCAAGUAGAACGCUGAAGGAGGAGCUUGCUUCUCCGGAUGAGUUGCGAACGGGUGAGUAACGCGUAGGUAACCUGCCUGGUAGCGGGGGAUAACUAUUGGAAACGAUAGCUAAUACCGCAUAAGAGUAGAUGUUGCAUGACAUUUGCUUAAAAGGUGCAAUUGCAUCACUACCAGAUGGACCUGCGUUGUAUUAGCUAGUUGGUGGGGUAACGGCUCACCAAGGCGACGAUACAUAGCCGACCUGAGAGGGUGAUCGGCCACACUGGGACUGAGGCACGGCCCAGACUCCUACGGGAGGCAGCAGUAGGGAAUCUUCGGCAAUGGACGGAAGUCUGACCGAGCAACGCCGCGUGAGUGAAGAAGGUUUUCGGAUCGUAAAGCUCUGUUGUAAGAGAAGAACGAGUGUGAGAGUGGAAAGUUCACACUGUGACGGUAUCUUACCAGAAAGGGACGGCUAACUACGUGCCAGCAGCCGCGGUAAUACGUAGGUCCCGAGCGUUGUCCGGAUUUAUUGGGCGUAAAGCGAGCGCAGGCGGUUAGAUAAGUCUGAAGUUAAAGGCUAUGGCUUAACCAUAGUACGCUUUGGAAACUGUUUAACUUGAGUGCAAGAGGGGAGAGUGGAAUUCCAUGUGUAGCGGUGAAAUGCGUAGAUAUAUGGAGGAACACCGGUGGCGAAAGCGGCUCUCUGGCUUGUAACUGACGCUGAGGCUCGAAAGCGUGGGGAGCAAACAGGAUUAGAUACCCUGGUAGUCCACGCCGUAAACGAUGAGUGCUAGGUGUUAGACCCUUUCCGGGGUUUAGUGCCGCAGCUAACGCAUUAAGCACUCCGCCUGGGGAGUACGACCGCAAGGUUGAAACUCAAAGGAAUUGACGGGGGC